rnacentral:misc_RNA from 1 species
GAUGAAGAACGCAGUGAAAUGCGAUAAGUAAUGUGAAUUGCAGAAUUCAGUGAAUCAUCGAAUCUUUGAACGCACAUUGCGCCCGCCAGCAUUCUGGCGGGCAUGCCUGUUCGAGCGUCAUUUCAACCCUCGACUUCCCUUUGGGGAAAUCGGCGUUGGGGACUGGCAGCAUACCGCCGGCCCCGAAAUGGAGUGGCGGCCCGUCCGCGGCGACCUCUGCGUAGUAAUCCAACCUCGCACCGGAACCCCGACGUGGCCACGCCGUAAAACACCCCACUUUCUGAACGUUGACCUCGGAUCAGGUAGGAAUACCCGCUGAACUUAAGCAUAUCAAUAAGCGGAGGA